rnacentral:lncRNA from 1 species
AGAUACCCCCAGCCAGUCCCCCCCUUCCGCCCCAGUACAGUUGCACGAGCCCCAAAGGGACAGGUCCAUUGUCACCCGUCGUGCAGGCUGAUGCACUAGCAGAGCCGGGGGGGAGCAUGCUCCCUUGUCCUGCGCUGGUCCCUGGAUUUUCCUGCAGGGCAGCUCCCCCUGCACCCCCAGCUGCCGCAGACCAUUCGCUGUGGCCCUGCUAGCCACUGCCGGAGAACUUCCCGAGGCGGCUCCGAGUCGCUGCGCUGCCCCAGCCUGGCCGGCUCUGUGUCACCAUCCGGCUGGACCUCCGGCUCCCCGCUGGCAUGGAGCUGAGACACCUCGUGUAUGAGUAAACAGUGCAGGGCCGCGGACCGCACUGCUGACUCAUGGCUCUCCUCCCUGCAGGAGCCAGCAGGCUCGCUUGGCUAACGAGGGGCUGCUCGUUAGCAGGCAGGAGGCAAGGAGCCGGGCAGGCAGAUGGCAGAGUGUGAUCGUGGGGACGGGGAGAUUGACCCGGGCAGCUCAGUUGGGUAGACAAGCUCGGGCAUGUCCCAGCCAGGCAGAGUUUGAUUCUCUGCAGGGCUCCCCCGGGUGAGUCUCCGUGGGCAGUGCCGCUCUAGGCUGGGCAUGGGGCAGGUCUGUGACCCCGUCCCCAAGCUUGGCACUACAGGUGCCAGGGUCCCUGGGCAGUGACCGAGGGGGGGAGACACGGCCAGGGCAGCCACACGUGCCCGUUGCUGAGCUCGGACCAGGGGUCGUUCAAAAUAUGCAUCCCGCAGAUCAGCCAGGAGAUAGGGCUACUGAGCCCCUGGCCGGGGGCUGCCCCCACCCCCCCGUCCGUGGGAAUUGUUCUGGGCUUUCCUGUUGACAAGCACUGGGGCCUGUGUCUGUCGGGAGCCGUAUCCUGGCCCGACCCCUCUGGGCCCCACGCCAGCACUGGAAGCGAGACCUCAGCAACCAUGCACUGGUCGGGCUCCACUGCCAGCCCUGCUGUCCCCAUGGGGCAAGGGUCAGAGCCCCCCACCACCCCGACCUGCUGGGGAAGGUCCUGCCUCGGGGAGGGGGCUUGGGUGGGUCCUGGGUUCACGUCUUUCCUGGGAGGGGCUGUUGGGGCACCUGCCCUGCAGCCUGCCUCCCCCCCCGAUCACUCAGCUCUGCCCCCCCACAGGAGAGCUCCAGCCCAUGCAGGAUGAGGGCCCCAACAGGGAGCAUCCCCCCACCGAGCCAGCCCCAGAGGGCACAGUGUCCAACAGUGGCCUCCCUGGGGAGCCCCUGCACCCGGAGCAUGCACUGGGGGCCCAGCUGCGGUGCAUGGGCGAUGCCUUCCACCAGGCCCAUGAGAGGCAGUGGCAGGAGCGGCAGUGGCAGGGAGCGCUCUGGGCCCGUUUCUGCCACUUCGUCUCUCAGCUGCUGGGCGCCUUCUACAACAUGCCCAUGGACGUGAUGCCGGAGCUGCAGCCCAACUAGCUCCUUGUGGGGCUGGAGCCGGGGGGGAGGCCCCCCCGCCGUGGACUGCGGAGCCGCUUGGCAAAAUGUAGCAACUUCCAGAGCUCAUAGCACCCCCACCACCCCGGCAAGCCAUGGCCCCUGCAGGCUGGGCCCCAGGCUGCUGCCCCCCCGGGCACCCACUGUCUAUUUAUUUAUUUAUUUUCGAGUACUGACUGGGA